rnacentral:rRNA from 1 species
GGGCCCGCACAAGCGGUGGAGUAUGUGGUUUAAUUCGAUGCAACGCGAAGAACCUUACCAGGGUUUGACAUCCUGCGAAUCUCUUGGAAACAGGAGAGUGCCUUCGGGAACGCAGUGACAGGUGGUGCAUGGCUGUCGUCAGCUCGUGUCGUGAGAUGUUGGGUUAAGUCCCGCAACGAGCGCAACCCACGUCUUUAGUUGCCAGCAUUUAGUUGGGCACUCUAGAGAGACUGCCGGUGAUAAACCGGAGGAAGGUGUGGAUGACGUCAAGUCAUCAUGCCCCUUACAUCCUGGGCUACACACGUACUACAAUGGCGAAUACAGAGGGCCGCAAACCUGCAAAGGCCAGCUAAUCCCUUAAAGCUCGUCGUAGUCCGGAUCGGAGUCUGCAACUCGACUCCGUGAAGUCGGAAUCGCUAGUAAUCGCGAAU